rnacentral:rRNA from 1 species
UUCCAGACUCCUACGGGAGGCAGCAGUGGGGGAUAUUGCACAAUGGGGGGAACCCUGAUGCAGCGACGCCGCGUGGGUGAAGAAGUAUUUCGGUAUGUAAAGCCCUAUCGGCAGGGAAGAAAUUGGACGGUACCUGACUAAGAAGCCCUGGCUAACUACGUGCCAGCAGCCGCGGUAAUACGUAGGGGGCAAGCGUUAUCCGGAUUCACUGGGUGUAAAGGGAGCGUAGACGGCCAUGCAAGCCUGGAGUGAAAGCCCGGGGCCCAACCCCGGGACUGCUCUGGGAACUGUGCGGCUGGAGUGCGGGAGGGGCAGGCGGAAUUCCUGGUGUAGCGGUGAAAUGCGUAGAUAUCAGGAGGAACACCGGCGGCGAAGGCGGCCUGCUGGACCGCGACUGACGUUGAGGCUCGAAAGCGUGGGGAGCAAACAGGAUUAGAUACCCUGGUAACC